UGCAUGCUGUAAAACGAAUUGCUGUGUGUGAAAUAGCGUGUAAACAUGCAUGCAUACACACAUAAAUACAUAUCUCUUAGGCAAUAAUCUGCUUAUUUUCGUUUUGAUAGGCGGCUAAUUCAGUAGGUUUUGUUAUGAGUUCCAGUGGAGGCGCCGAAGAAAGAAUUGAUGAUGAUUUUAAAAGGAGAAUUUUCAAAUUUAAAGCUUUGACGGCAGUUCGCAUAUAUUUUUUAGCGUCUUUUAUAAAAAAAAAAAUAUCCAACUUUUAUCAAGUUUCAACAUGUUGCAUGCUUCAUUCAUUGAGGACAACGAAUACCAAAAAAUUAUUUAGUGGGUAGGUAACAAAACAGCAGACAAAUAGGUAAGUUCUAUUUAAAUUAUUUUAAAUAUUUUAUAGUUAGUUCAACUAAUUGUUUUUUUUUUUCUCUUUUGUUUUCAACAACAACCAGGACGAUUAACGCUUCUGAGGAUGACAAAUCCGCAUCGUUUGAGUGACGGGCCAUAACGAAAGGGCGAAUGAAAGGGCAGAUAAUUUGGCGGUGAAGGCCAGAGGUCAGCAGUUAAUAAACUUGGAUAACUUGAAGCCUUUCGGGUCGACGCAGUCCGAGUGGGCGACGAAUACGCAUGCAACACUGUGGAACAGCAAAACGGUCGGUAGGACGGCGAAAAUCCUAUGAGGGGAUCCAGAUCGUGAGAAGACGAGGCUAUUACUGAAAGGAAGUAAGAAGGAGGUGAAUAUGGCUAUUGGUAUCAUGACGGGACACAUGGGACUACGAGCACGCGGGGAAUAUGGUGAGACGUUGCAGCAUUUCCUUUGUCAUUGCACAGCUUUUGCGUCCAACAGGUACCGGUAAAAAAGGGCCAAAGGAUACAUAUAAUAACUCAUAUUUAAAAUAAAUAAAUGUUUUAGACACUUAAUUUAAAAAUACGAAUAAAAAGUGAAGUUCAAGUGUUGUUGGAUAA